rnacentral:lncRNA from 1 species
UUGCUUUUUUUUAAUUUUAGACUUUUAAUUUGCAAUAUAGUUGUUCAUCAUUUUUUCCUUCACUUAAAAUCAUCAAGUUGAAGCUUUAUUUCUUGGUUUUUUAACCUAUUCAAUGAGUUUACAAAUCGGCUCUUCCAUUGGUUCAAAAAUUGCAUAACUUAAGAACUAGAAAUGCAGUAUUUUACCCUACUCCUUGUUAUAAUACUUAAAAUUACAGGUACUUUGCAUGACUAUGAUCUUUUUUUU